AGAUAGAAAGCAAUCUGGAUA
rnacentral:miRNA from 1 species